rnacentral:ncRNA from 1 species
UAAAAAGCUCAUAGUUGGAUGUUGGGAGUGGGCUGGUGGUCCACUGUGAGGCGAGCCACUGCCUGAUCCCGCCCUUGCCUGCUCAGUGCCCCCUCGAUGCUCUUAGCUGACUGUCCCACGGGGCUCGAAGUGUUUACUUUGAAAAAAUUAGAGUCUUCAAAGCAGGCCCGGUCACCUGGAUACUCCAUCUAGGAAGGAUGGAAAAGGACCCAGGUCCCAAUUUUGUUGGUUUUCGGAACUGGGGACAUGAUUAAGAGGGAUGGCUGCGGCCAUUUGUAUUGUACCGCUAGAGGUGAAAUUCUUGGACUGGUGCAAGACAGACCAGAACGAAAGCAAUUGCCAAGAACCUUUUCAUUAAUCAAGAAUGGAAGUUGGAGGUUCAAAGACCAUCAGGUACCAUCAUAUUUCUGACCAUAAAUGAUGCUGACUGUCAAUCCAGCGGCGUUAAUUCUGUGACCUACCAGGUAGCCUUCCGAGAAACCAAGAUCUUUGAGUU